GGUGUAAUGUCCAUAUAACGACGGUUAAUAAGAUCCAGAAUAGGGGAAGAGACUGCUAAGAUUCUGAGAUCGGGUGAUGUUAAACAGUACUCUCAGGGUAAGGGUAAAAUCAUGUAAUCCCGGAAGGACGACCAGAGGCGAAAGCGUUUAGCUAGAACGAAUCUGACGGUAAGGAACGAAGGCUAGGGUAGCAAACCGGAUUAGAUACCCGGGUAGUCCUAGCUGUAAACAUUGCCCAUUUGAUGUUGCUUUCCCGUUGAGGGAAGGCAGUGUCGGAGCGAAGGUGUUAAAUGGGCCGCUUGGGAAGUAUGGUCGCAAGACUGAAACUUAAAGGAAUUGGCGGGGGAGCACCGCAACGGGAGGAAUGUGCGGUUUAAUUGGAUUCAACGCCGGAAAACUCACCGGGAACGACCUGUGCAUGAGAGUCAACUUGACGAGCUUACUCGAUAGCAGGAGAGGUGGUGCAUGGCCGUCGUCAACUCGUACCGUANGGCGUUCACUUAUGUGUGAUAACG
rnacentral:rRNA from 1 species